rnacentral:rRNA from 1 species
GGCGGCANGUCCCUCACAUGCAAGAAAAACGGCAGCACGGGGGCAACCCUGGUGGCGAGUGGCGUAUGGGUGAGUAAUACAUCGGAACGUGUCCUGUUGUGGGGGAUAACUAGUCGAAAGAUUAGCUAAUACCGCAUGAUCUCGGGAGAGGAAAGCAGGGGACCUGAAAGGGCCUUGCGCGAUUGGAGCGGCCGAUGUCCGAUUAGCUAGUUGGUGGGGUAAAGGCCUACCAAGGCGACGAUCGGUAGCUGGUCUGAGAGGAUGAUCAGCCACACUGGGACUGAGACACGGCCCAGACUCCUACGGGAGGCAGCAGUGGG